rnacentral:rRNA from 1 species
AAGAACAAGUACCGUUCGAAUAGGGCGGUACCUUGACGGUACCUAACCAGAAAGCCACGGCUAACUACGUGCCAGCAGCCGCGGUAAUACGUAGGUGGCAAGCGUUGUCCGGAAUUAUUGGGCGUAAAGCGCGCGCAGGCGGUCUCUUAAGUCUGAUGUGAAAGCCCCCGGCUCAACCGGGGAGGGUCAUUGGAAACUGGGAGACUUGAGUGCAGAAGAGAAGAGCGGAAUUCCACGUGUAGCGGUGAAAUGCGUAGAGAUGUGGAGGAACACCAGUGGCGAAGGCGGCUCUUUGGUCUGUAACUGACGCUGAGGCGCGAAAGCGUGGGGAGCAAACAGGAUUAGAUACCCUGGUAGUCCACGCCGUAAACGAUGAGUGCUAAGUGUUAGAGGGUUUCCGCCCUUUAGUGCUG